rnacentral:rRNA from 1 species
UGGGCGUAAGGGUGCGUAGGCGGCGCGGUAAGUCGGGUGUGAAAUCUCGGAGCUUAACUCCGAAACUGCAUUCGAUACUGCCGUGCUUGAGGACUGGAGAGGAGACUGGAAUUUACGGUGUAGCGGUGAAAUGCGUAGAUAUCGUAAGGAAGACCAGUGGCGAAGGCGGGUCUCUGGACAGUUCCUGACGCUGAGGCACGAAGGUCAGGGGAGCAAACGGGAUUAGAUACCCCGGUAGUCCUGACAGUAAACGGUGCACGUUUGGUGUGGGAGGAUUCGACCCCUUCUGCGCCGGAGCUAACGCGUUAAACGUGCCGCCUGGGGAGUACGGUCGCAAGAUUAAAACUCAAAGAAAUUGACGGGGGCCCGCACAAGCGGUGGAGUAUGUGGCUCAAUUCGAUGCAACGCGAAGAACCUUACCAGGCCUUGACAUGCAUCUCUAAGUUGGUGAAAGCCAGCGAGUCCCGAAAGGGACAAUUUGCACAGGUGCUGCAUGGCUGUCGUCAGCUCGUGUCGUGAGAUGUUGGGUUAAGUCCCGCAACGAGCGCAACCCCUGUGAACUGUUGCCACGGAACCGAGAGGUUCCAGCACUCUGUUCAGACUGCCCCGCUCUAACGGGGAGGAAGG